UCGGGAUUUUGUGGAAUUCUAUUCCAGUGAUUGGAGGCUUGCUAUUUUUCCCUAUGUCGAAUACCUGAAAUCACAUUGGACAUUAUAUGCAGAUAAAAGAGAAAUUUAGAACUCACCAAUCCUCCUACCUCUUUUGCACCAUAAAGAGGCAGGUAAUUCGGAAGCUUUGUCAGAAAUGAAUAGUAUGAUAAUGUAAAAAUGUGAUAGAUAAAUGGAAUGAUGACAUAAUCUUUUUAGUUACACCUUUGGAAGUGCCCAACAGAAUGGAGCCAGAGGUUGUUUCCGAAGUAUUGGAAAAGUUCCAGCCUACUGCGGUGAUUUCGUGGCCU